ACCACCAGCCAUAUCACAAGUGGUAACCCACUGACGCUAAGCAGGUGUGAGCCUGGUCAGUACCUGGAUGAGAGACCUCCUGGGAAAAACUAAGGUUGCUGCUGGAA
rnacentral:rRNA from 1 species